GCGUGUCCUAUUUCUUGCAUUUGCAUUCUCACAGCAAGCUGGCCACGUACUCUUACACACUGGAAUCAGCCACAAGCAGAGGAGAUUUACACUUAGCAUUGAAAUCUGAUGAACACUCAGCUACUCAAGAAGGAAAAGACUCGGGGCAUUCAAAAAGAUGUGUACCAGAUCCUAGGAUGAGUACACUGUAACUUGCAAAGCUACCUGAGGCACAGCAGGAGAAGGCAGCUUUUGUGGACAGGGGAGUCAACUAUAUUCAUGUGUGACUCUCUAAGCAGAAGACCGAGAAGUCAAAAUUGAAUUUUCACAGCACGCCGAUGUCUUGCAUUCCAAGGAAUUCAUGGAGCCACUAGAGUCCAGAGGAAGCAAAAAUCAAGGACUGUCUAAGAAGAAAAAGAUUCUGAUCCCCACAUAGACAGAACGAGAAGGAAGAGGCCUGACCACAAGCUGAGUCUUCAGUACAACAAGUGCAUAAGUUGAACUUUGUGGUUGAACGUAAUGUUUUAUCAUCUUUUGUUGUUAAAGGUGGCCAGACACGUGAAAUCUCCACCACUGAAGGUCUUUAAGAACAUAUUAGGUAGCUGCAAGUCCUAAUUAGUUCUUUGAUCCUACCCUGGAGCAAGAGGAUGUAUUAAGUAACCAGUUUACAUCCCUUACAACUUAUUAUUUUUAAUAAUUAGUGCAGCCUCGUUAAAGGUCACCAUUUAUUACUCUCAUUCAGAUCUAAAUCACAUUUUCAUGCUACUGCACAGUGUUGAAAUGCACAUUAAUAUGUUGUUAACUAUAGGUUUUCUAAGCAGUCCAUUCAGACUUCAACAAAGAAAAAAUACCGGAUCCCCAGUUUAGAUAUACCACAUCCACAAUUCAGAACAAGCAAUAUGAAAAAAGAUAGCUUUAAAAGAAUGGUAUAUUUAUUUUUGCCUAAGGGUUUAAGAUUAGUAUAUGUGAAUGAACCUGAAGUCUGCACAUACUAAUUCUUCAGAACUUCUUUAAUCUAUUCAGAAAUGGGAUUUUUAUAUAUCCAUUUGAUCAUAUCCAGAGAGACUGUAUUCAAUCUUAACCAACAAUGUGCAAAUAUAUAUUAAAAUAUUAACAAACCAAGGAAAAACAGUAUUUUCAAGUUUCUGUUUGAUAAUGACCCCUACAAAGUGCUUCAAAGUAUGGUACAGAAAGGUCUGCAAUGCCAGAAUCGGCAAUUUUAAAUGAAAAUUGUGUCUUGUUUCAUUUUGAUUAUACGUACCUAGACAUGUCAUUAAUUUGUGGUAACUAGAUUAUUUUUAUUAUCUCAAAAUGAGUACCUGAGAAUGUUAUAAAACUCUAGAAAAAUCCAGAUUAAGGGUUGUAUGAACAAAAUAGCACAUUCGGUGAUGGGUAGUCCUCCCCUAGAUAGACUGGCCAUACCAGGUAUUGUAAAGCUCAGUCUAUCCUGCUACUCUGAUUCCAAGACAGGCAGAAAGUACCUGCCAUGGGAGGAUAUAAGAAUAUGAUAAGAAUCUGCAACACUGCCUGAGAAUCCUCCUAGUCAUCAACCAUUCACUGCUCAGGGACUUAAUGAACUAAAACACCGCCAUACAGCCAACAUCCCUUAAAGGAGGCUUGAGAUACCAAAGUUUAACACAGUAACUCAGGUCAGUAAGUACCACUAAUUCACAGUUUUGAGAUGAUACAGCUUGUAAUAUCCUCAAUUUGAUCCUUCGUACAUUUUACUAUAAAUAAACAAUGUCUUCAGCAAAGUUUGCAGACAUGUCUGAUUUUCCAAAUCAUUAAUAACCAGCUAAAAUAGCAACACGAGAACUUAGCAGGCUGUUCAAGCAGUGCAGGCAAUUUUGGAAGGAACUUAAAGACCAAUGUCAACGGGAAAAAAAAAAGAGCCUGAUUUUCCCACUAAUUCCUCUAAUAGCUCAAGAGGCUGCACAAUUUCCUUUGUGCAUUUUCAUUUUAGUGGGAAAACAAUCAAAAUGUUCCUUUAAGUAUAUGAAAACUGCAUAGCACAGAAGCAUACAGCAAGCUACAACCAGAAGAAAUAACUAAAAGCAAAAGGAGAAAGAAUACUGGAUGUAUUUCUAGAAUUUUACAUAGCCUUUAUCCCCUCAACAGCACUUUCUGCAGAGUCUGAGCAGAAAACUUUUUUCCUUAGAAAAGCAUUAUCUUUGGUAGUACAGUGUUUUGCCUCAGGAAACAGUCCUAGGAAAGCUCCCAAACUCAGAAACUUGAAAUGCCCCAAACUUCUGUUACUUCCUCCUAACCAAAAUAUCAAGAGAAACAGACUUCUAUUGCAACUCAACAUAGUGAGCAUAUUCUUUCUAUACCCGUUAUGACUUUCAGAUAAACAAUGCAAAAAGAAAAGGAAAGGAAUGACUAUCAAUCUUAAGGAAGAAUAAAAAAGGAGAAAAAAGAGCUUUGUUUUGUUUGUUUGUUUGUUUUGUUUGUUUUUUACCUGGAGGAACAUGUACAUCAACUAUCUGUAGCAAAGAAGUCUAGUAACAUCUGUGCAGAAAGCAUUACUCUACCAUCACAGAUCCUGAAGGAAUUCAUUUUGCACCUGUUUUAGACGAAUUCUGGAGUGGACCUUCCAAAACACUUGCAGUAGCAUUGAUGACUAAGGGAAAAAAUAAAAAAAAAAAAUAGGAGCCAUGGCAUUAACACCUACUUAGUAUAUACUGGAAAAUCCACGGGAGAUUAGAGGAUUAGAAAUGCUAGAAUAAAGAUUUCUUUAUGGGUAUAACGAGAGCAAUUUCCCCAGAUAACUAAAAAUAAAUUAAAAAAAUGUGUAAAAAGAAAAGUUAAAACAUAUUUAGCUAUGCCUUUCAGAAUCAUGUUAUUCAUUCACAGAGUUUCACAAACUCCAGAAAGGUUUGUCAAUAUGAUACAGUUUCUGCCUAGUGCUUUGCUUCAAAAAUUUUCUAUACUUUACAUAAAAAUUUAAGAUCUCAUACAUGUAUUUCUAAACCAGAUUAUUUAAGAUAAAAUGACCUCGUUAGCUGUAGUAGCUAAACAGAAAUCAUUAUUAUGUUGCUUUGUGUGAUUUGAAUAUACUGUACAUACAUAACAUAUAUACAUUGACAAAGACUGAUCUACCUUAAAAACUAGCAUUUACUCACCUUGUUCAUGAAUACUUUGCUUCAAAUUUGACUUUUUUAAAAUGAUCAACGUAUUAAGUUCCUGCUCUGUAAUUUUCUGUUAUAAAUUUAACCCUUCUUAUGCUUAACUUAGAAGUUAAUUCAAUUCCUCCAUCAAAAAUGCCAGAAAUCUGGCACUGAAGAACAGACCACAGGAAAUACAGAACUGAAUAUUUCAAAGUCUAUUUCUCUUGUUUCAAAAAUACCUGUUCCUAUCUCAACCCCACACAGUGUUUUUUUGUUUGUUUUGUUCUGUUUUUCCUCCAUCUCGUUCCCCGCCCAAGUGACCACUAUGUGUGAUGAGCCACGUUUUCCUGGAGAUGGCCCAAAGCCUGCCUCUGAACAGGAAGCUAUGAAUAAAUUCCACAUUUUGCUUCACCUAUUAAGUUGUCUCUAUAUCAACCCACCAGUUUUCUCACUUCUACCUCUGCAAUUCACUCCCCCAUCCCACGGGUAACAAAAUUUAGUUACCCAUGCAAGAUUGAUUUCAUUUUUUAGAAAACACACAUUUUCAAUGUAUUAGAUUCUUCGAUGAGCAUGCCCUACUUUCCUCGAAGUACACUUGAAUUACUCCCUGGGAAAAGGAAUUAUUCCUAGCUCAUUAAUCAGUUAUCCUGGUUUGGGCUGAAAAAGAGUUAAUUUUAUUCAGA